rnacentral:rRNA from 1 species
CUACGGGGUGCACCAGGCGCGAAACCUUUACAAUGCACGAAAGUGCGAUAAGGGGAUCCCAAGUGCUUAUACUUUGUAUAGGCUUUUGCCAAGUGUAAAUAACUUGGCGAAUAAGUGGUGGGCAAGACUGGUGCCAGCCGCCGCGGUAAUCCCAGCGCCACGAGUAGCAACCAUAUUUAUUGGGCCUAAAGCGUCCGUAGCAGGUUUUGUAAAUCUCCUGUGAAAUCGUUGUGCUCAACAUAACGACGUGCAAGAGACACUGCAAGACUAGAGACCGGGAGGCGUCGAGGGUAUUCCAGGGGGAGCGGUAAAAUGUUAUAAUCCCUGGAGGACCACCUGUGGCGAAGGCGCUCGACGAGAACGGAUCUGACUGUGAGGGACGAAAGCCAGGGGAGCAAUCCGGAUUAGAUACCCCGGUAGUC